UGUGAGGAAGUCCAACCACUCAUGCA
rnacentral:piRNA from 1 species